rnacentral:tRNA from 1 species
GAUAGAGCAGCCCGGUAGCUCGUCAGGCUCAUAACCUGAAGGUCGUAGGUUCAAAUCCUACUCCCGCAACCA